UACGGUCACAGAACGUUGAAACACCUGUUCCCGUACGAUCACCGACGUUAAGCAACGUCGUGCCUGUUUAGUACGUAGAUGGGUGACCGCUUGGGAAUACCAGGUGCU